GACGAAGGGGGCUAGCGUUGUUCGGAAUUACUGGGCGUAAAGCGAGUGUAGGUGGUUGUCCAAGUUGGAUGUGAAAGCCUUGAGCUCAACUCAAGAAAUGCAUUCAGGACUGGGCGACUAGAGGACCGGAGAGGAUAGUGGAAUUCCCAGUGUAGUGGUGAAAUACGUAGAGAUUGGGAAGAACACCAGUGGCGAAGGCGACUCUUUGGCCUGUAACUGACGCUGAGGCGCGAAAGCGUGGGGAGCAAACAGG
rnacentral:rRNA from 1 species